AACGAACGCUGGCGGCAGGCCUAACACAUGCAAGUCGAACGAAGUCUUCGGACUUAGUGGCGGACGGGUGAGUAACACGUGGGAACGUACCUUUUGGUUCGGAACAACUCAGGGAAACUUGAGCUAAUACCGGAUGAGCCCUUAGGGGGAAAGAUUUAUCGCCGAAAGAGCGGCCCGCGUUAGAUUAGCUAGUUGGUGCGGUAAAGGCUCACCAAGGCUGCGAUCUAUAGCUGGUCUGAGAGGAUGAUCAGCCACACUGGGACUGAGACACGGCACGGACUGCUACGGGAGGCGGCAAUGGGGGAUCUUGCGCUAUGGGCGAAAGACUGACGCAGCCAUGCAGCGUGAAUGAUGAAGGUCUUAGGAUUGUAAAAUUCUUUUACCAGGGACGAUAAUGACGGUACCUGGGGAAAAAGCCCCGGCUGACUUCGUGCCAGCAGCCGCAGUAAGAC
rnacentral:rRNA from 1 species